rnacentral:rRNA from 1 species
AUGAAUCCACUAAUUGCUGCUGCUUCUGUUAUUGCUGCUGGAUUGGCCGUAGGGCUUGCUUCUAUUGGACCUGGAGUUGGUCAAGGUACUGCUGCAGGACAAGCUGUAGAAGGUAUUGCGAGCCAGAAGCAGAAGGAAUUUUGGGAACAGAACAUUUCAACAAAGGAAGUCUUUCACCGGUCAAACAAGACGUAA